rnacentral:tRNA from 2 species
UGGGAUAUAGUCUAACGGCAGGACGUCUCGCUCUGGACGAGAAAAUGGAGGUUCGAAUCCUUCUAUCCCAGCCA